rnacentral:misc_RNA from 1 species
AAAAAACUUCGGCAAGAACGUGGAGCUUGUGUGUGAGACUUGUGUGCUAACUUAGACCACAAGCCCCCUCACGGAGCCCUGUUUUUACGAACCCUGUGUGAACCGUAAUAUUUAUUCCAUCCACGUAAUACGAAAUUUCUAGUCUAAAGUCUUCUUCAUAUCACGAGAAUAUGAUAAAAA